GAAAUGUUACACUCAGUUAAGACGCCUUCGCUGAACGAUAAAGUUCUCAUUUACAUUUAUUACAUAUCUUUGGCUGAACCCAGUGCUGUGUGGGAUAAUAAAGCCGCCAGAAUUUCCACAACCUUCAAAUGAUUCUCCUGCUUUGACGGCUGAUGACAUAAAGCAGGCGCUUGAAAUCGAUGUGAUGAUCAAGGCUGAGUUUGAAAAUGUGCAAGGCUAUGCAUUUUUCAAUAAGGAGUUCAACGCAUGGCAUAAAUUUCUGAAUUGAAGCUGCAAAAUCUGCAAGCAUAUCAAAAGUAUAACGUGGAAAGACUGGCUCUGGAGAAGCGGCUUCUGGAGUAUUGCGAAAAUUUCCAAAAGGCAAUUAGGGGAAAAUGUCAUAGCAUCUUUCGAAAAUUGCGUAUAAAGUGUGUGAAGACCUUUAAGGAGGGAAACAAAGCAAAUGCCGACUUUAUUAAAAAAUUGACGAUUUUCGAAUGUGACCUUAUGGUAAUAGGUAAAUCCGAGGACUAUCAUUUUGGGAAAUAGCGCUGGAAACAGGUGUUGAUCGUUAACCAGACCUUGAUUGGUUGAAUUGGAACCAAAAAAAAACUCAUGAAUAUCUAAAAAACACCUGCUAACUGGUACAAUCGCACAACGCUAUUAGAUAUUAGAUAUCUGUACUAAAUGGUCAGGGAAAAGAAAAGAAUUAAAAAAAAAAAAAAAACAAUAAUAAUUUAAGCACACAAAACGACAAAACAUAAAUCUAAUUUACCAAUUUAUGGAACAAAUUAACGAAUUUAUCUAACAGCUGCUAUUAACAGCAGAGCUGAAGGCCCCAGUAGCUAGUGCUCGCAUAUGAAAUUAAAUUAAUAUUUUAUAUUAGCCUUAAAUUAAUAAAAAUAAAAUAUAUAA